rnacentral:tRNA from 1 species
GGUUUAGUAGCUUAAUAGAAAAGCAUUCGUUUGAUAAGCGAAAGAGUGGGGGUGCAAGUCCCUCCUAAGCUA